AUUGAACGCUAGCGGCAUGCUUUACACAUGCAAGUCGAACGAGUGGCGGACGGGUGAGUAAUAUAUCGGAACGUGCCCAGUAGCGGGGGAUAACUACUCGAAAGAGUGGCUAAUACCGCAUACUAUUAGAGCGGCCGAUAUGGGAUUAGCUAGUUGGUGGGGUAAUGGCUCACCAAGGCGACGACCCGUAGCUGGUCUGAGCGGACGACCAGCCACACUGGGCCUGAGACACGGUCCAGGCUCCUACGGGAGGCGGCAGGGGGGAAGUUUGGACAAUGGGGGAAACCCUGAGCCAGCCAUCCCGCGUGUAUGAGAAGGCCUUCGGGUUGUAAAGUACUUUUGGCGGGGAAGCGGUAUCUGCAGAAUAAGCACCGGCUAACUACGUGCCAGCAGCCGCGGUAAUUC
rnacentral:rRNA from 1 species